AAAAGAAUCUGGUUGAAACCUCAGUAACAGUUGGCCUGUCUACUGCCUCACACUAACAAGGGGGAGCUAAUAAAACCGAGGUUAGAACACACAAUGUGGAAAUGAAAACCUUAUUCUUGUCAAUGGAUGGAGGGUGGGUUCCACAGCCUGUACAAGAAACAUGGUGCCAGCAUCUGCUUCUGGUGAGGACUGCAGGAAGCUUCCAAUCAUGGUCCAAAAAAUGCGGAGCCUGCGUGUCACGUGAUAAGAGAUGGAGCGUGAGAAAGAGGCAGGAGGAGAAAGGGAGAAUAUUUCUGGGAAUAUUAAGAAGGGGUCACAAGGCAGACUCAGGGGUUGGGUUUUGUGUGUAACCAUGGGACCCCCACCUUUACAAGUGUCUGUAAUUCUCACUAGCAGUAUAUUAGAGGGCAAAAGAUUUGAACAGACACAUCAGAAAAGAAGACAUACAAAUGGCCGCUAAGCACUUGAAAGGAUUCUGAACACCAUUAGUCAUCAGUGAAAUGCAAAUUAAAGCCAUAAUGAAUGGCGCUAUACAUUUUCAGAAUGGCAAGGAUUGAAGACCGAAAAAAAUCAAGCGUUGGGGAGAGUGACAAAUGGGGAGACAGCCGUGGUGCAUGAUCGCCGAAUAAAUACCAUGUGAGGAUACAGCAAGAAGGUGGCCAUCUACAAGCCAAGGAGACAGGCCUCAGAAGAAACCAACCCUUCUUACACCCUGGACUCAGACUUCUAAUCUCCAGAACUGUAAGAAAAUAAAUUUCUGUUGCUUAUGCUGCCCAGACACACAAACUGCAAAUUGUAAGGCAACUUACAUUGAGUUUUUAAAAAGGUUAAUGCACAAGGUCUUGUGUUGAAAAUGUAGAGCCACGAGAUAAAAGCAGCUUGGAUGGCUGACUCAUAUACAAGGACAACUGCCUGAGAGUCACCAGGGCUAUCAAGAAGUUUGCAGAAACAAGAAAUAAACUUUUACUGUUUUAAACUUUUGUGAAUUUUGGGUUUUGUUUAUCACCAAAUAAACCUAGUCUAUUCUGAUUGUUAUAAGUGGUUAAUUUGGGAAGUCAGAUAUAUUUAAAAUUGGCUUACUGCUGUAACAUAUACAGUCCAAAUUACAUAAUGGCUCAAAUGCAAUAGAAGUCUUUUUUUUUUUUGCUCACAUAUCACUUCACUGAGAUUCUGCAUUAAUUGUAAUGAUGAGGGUGAGGGUGUCUUAUAUCAUACAGUUGUUCAGCAACCCAGGAUGACCAACUUUGUAAUAUUUUUUCCCACUGGCUUCUAAAGUUCUC
rnacentral:lncRNA from 1 species